CAGCGUCGUCCGCGUUUGGCUGGGGUAGGCCGUCAUUGUAAAUAAGAAUUUGUUCUUGACUGACUUGCCUAGUUAAAUAAAAUGUGCACAGGGAAUGAUGCUCACACAACCUCUGAAUCCUAUAUGUACUGUUUGUACAUAAAUAUUACAUUCUAACAUGUUAACAAACUUGGUGGUAGAAGUUAAAUGUGUUGAAGAACUGAUUCUGCUACCUGCUUUCUACCCAGUUGAGAUUGUUUGUGUUGUAUUUAAGCAAAAGGGGUGUGGAGGACAUACUCCGGUCCAGUGGUUUUGUCCUCCGACAGGUGGCAUCGCUCCUACACAACGCUCGUCCCUCAACCGACAGAGCAGACAGUUGGUCGUAAGACAACGGCCCAGUGGCUUUGUUUAAACCAGUAAUGUCUACAUCUGGAUUUCAAAGUGUUAUCGCUUCACCUAGCAGUUAUCAUGUGAUUUAAAAACCCCCCAAUCAAUCUCUUUAUCAUGACUUCCAUUUGGACACGUUGGCCUCGGUCUGUGCCUACGAGGUCUUCAUGUAAACCCAGCCAAGUUAGAGUCCCAAUUGCACAAAUUGUUCCUCAGUUGCCCCUGAAAUAGCUGUGCGAGGACUUUUAUGUUAGUAAGUCUAAAUGUUGAGGUGGAGAAGAAGGAAUAAAAAGUAUGUGAUUAUGUAUGCAAGUUUAUCACAUUUAUGUUUUUUUUAUAUUGUUUUAUGAUAGUGUAUUUUAAAAAAAGAAGAAGAAAAAAAAAACAUUCUCACAAUGUGUGUUUGGAAUGGGGAUAUGGAACUGAAAGGUUAGAGGUGAGAAUGUCAUGUGGUGGAUUCAUUCUAAAUGGCACCCUAUUCCCUAUGUAGUAUACCAGGCCUCGGGUCAAAAGUAAUGCACGCUAUAGGGAAUAGGGUGCAACUUGGGAAGAAGUUGAUGUUUGAACUGGGUGGGAUGAUGAGGUAGUCAAGCACUUGUGUCUGCAGUUAGGCUAUGAGCGUGUUUGACAAUGCAGCCAUUUUUUUUUUUUUUUUAAGGUGUGACUGACUAAUCUACAAAUCACCUUGAAUCAUAAUUAACUAGUCAAAUGUUAGUUGCAGGUCCGGUCACAAUUUCCCCACGAUGCAUCACGGUUUUGAUGCGCUCGACAGGCCUAAGCCUUCUGCAUGCCAAUGCUGGUCAAAUAUGUCCUGGUCUGUGCUUCUGCCUCUGCUGCCCUCAAUUGUUGUCGACUGGGAGAUAUAGAUGAUGACAUCAGUCUGUGUGGCUUAAUCUGUGUAGGCUACAUUCAAUCUUGAAUGAUAUGUACAGUAUAUCAUKGUUCAUAUACACACUGCACUAACAAAAUAAACGAAUCUUACAAUA